AUUGAACGCUGGCGGCAUGCCUUACACAUGCAAGUCGAACGGCAGCGGGGGAGAAGCUUGCUUUUCCUGCCGGCGAGUGGCGAACGGGUGAGUAAUACAUCGGAACGUGCCAUGUAGUGGGGGAUAACUAGUCGAAAGAUUAGCUAAUACCGCAUACGACCUGAGGGUGAAAGAGGGGGACCGCAAGGCCUCAUGCUAUAGGAGCGGCCGAUGUCUGAUUAGCUAGUUGGUGGGGUAAAGGCCUACCAAGGCGACGAUCAGUAGCUGGUCUGAGAGGACGAUCAGCCACACUGGGACUGAGACACGGCCCAGACUCCUACGGGAGGCAGCAGUGGGGAAUUUUGGACAAUGGGCGAAAGCCUGAUCCAGCAAUGCCGCGUGUGUGAAGAAGGCCUUCGGGUUGUAAAGCACUUUUGUCCGGAAAGAAAUGGCUCUGGUUAAUACCUGGGGUCGAUGACGGUACCGGAAGAAUAAGGACCGGCUAACUACGUGCCAGCCGCCGCCGUAA
rnacentral:rRNA from 1 species